AACGAACGCUGGCGGCAUGCCUAACACAUGCAAGUCGAACGAAGGCUUCGGCCUUAGUGGCGCACGGGUGCGUAACGCGUGGGAAUCUGCCCUUUGGUUCGGAAUAACAGCUGGAAACGGCUGCUAAUACCGGAUGAUGACGAAAGUCCAAAGAUUUAUCGCCAGAGGAUGAGCCCGCGUUGGAUUAGGUAGUUGGUGGGGUAAAGGCCUACCAAGCCGACGAUCCAUAGCUGGUCUGAGAGGAUGAUCAGCCACACUGGGACUGAGACACGGCCCAGACUCCUACGGGAGGCAGCAGUGGGGAAUAUGGGACAAUGGGCGCAAGACUGAUCCAGCAAUGCCGCGUGAGUGAUGAAGGCCCUAGGGUUGUAAAGCUCUUUUACCCGGGAAGAUAAUGACUGUACCGGGAGAAUAAGCCCCGGCUAACUCCGG
rnacentral:rRNA from 1 species